rnacentral:lncRNA from 1 species
UAUAUAUAUAUAUAUCAAAAGAAAAUUCUAGCAGCCAAAAUAGUUGACUCACAAAAGGACUCCCAUCUCUCCCUCAUUCCUCCUGCGUGUACAUCUUUAUAUAAUAAUUCCACAGCCACCAAAUUUGACUCCAAUUCAAAGCCUUUAAUGUAAUAUUAACCAUCAAGUCCUCAAUCUUUCAAUAUAAUAAAUUUCAGUUCUUGAGUUCCUCCAUUGUGCAAUCAACGUCCUCUUCAAUUUUUCAAGUGUUGAAUUUGUUCUUCAAUAUUGCAUCCACCAACCAAUUUGUUCUUCAUCCUUUUCCAUUUGUUCCGAACGAGUCCAUCACUAAAAAACAAACUCAAAUUAAGUAUAAAUUAAUAAAUUGACGACAUAAAAGCUUAAUAAAAUAGUCUAAAUAAG